rnacentral:rRNA from 1 species
UACGUAGGGGGCAAGCGUUAUCCGGAUUUAUUGGGCGCAAAGGGAACGCAGGCGGUCUUUUAAGUCUGAUGUGAAAGCCUUCGGCUUAACCGGAGUAGUGCAUUGGAAACUGGGAGACUUGAGUGCAGAAGAGGAGAGUGGAACUCCAUGUGUAGCGGUGAAAUGCGUAGAUAUAUGGAAGAACACCAGUGGCGAAGGCGGCUCUCUGGUCUGUAACUGACGCUGAGGUUCGAAAGCGUGGGUAGCAAACAGG